GCAGGCGCAAAGAGCUUCCUCUCGUUUCCAUGGGAACCUCGACCCCCAGAGUCCCGGACCGUUGGCUCAGUGGAGCAAGAAAGUGUUGCUUCUUCCUGAGAUAUGGGACAGUACAGGACUUCUGGGAGCCACAAACACCCCUUUUCCUGGAGAUGCAACCCAGGGUGACCUAUUACACCAUCCUGGAAGCUUAUGCUUUUAUGCCAGAGCCCUGCUUUUCCUCUUCGUCCUGCUCCCCAAGUUGGCUCCCACUCUAUGGCUGCAGAUAUGUUGUCAUACAUUGGAGAGAAGAGUAGAGUCAUAGCUGAGAACUGUGACUUGUCUGCAGUCUGUCACCUUCCCUGGAAGAGAGUGUUGAGGAUGGUGGGAAUAUUCAGUGAGCUGAUGAUGGGGACACUGGUUUGCCACCUUCUCUGGCUUUCCAGACUCCAGGCCUUACCAUCUACGGGCAGAAGCCCCACGAGAAGAGGGAUUUUUGUCCUGUGGAAAAGUGCACCCAAAAUAUGUUGAAUGAAUGAAUUACUGCAUACCAAGAUCUCAAGCUUUGGACUGCCUGCUACUUCAAACCUAAUCAGCUGGGCAGAUGAAGGGGACAGAGAAGCUGCAGGGCUCCUUCAGAAUCCCAGCACGUCAUGGUUGGAAGGGACCUCAGUGUGCUCCCCCCAUGGCCCUCUCCAUCACAUUGUACAGAUGAAGAAACAGCUCAAGACAGGGAGGGACUUAUACAACAUCACACAGCAAGUCGGUGUUGGAUCCCAGACGUGAAACCCAGGUCUCCUGACUCCCAGCUCCAGGCCAUUUUCUGUUUUCUUUUUUUUUGAGAUAGAGUCUCAUUUCG